AAUUUUAUAGUUAAAUUAAUAACGUUAAAUUGCAAAUUUAAAAUUAUAAUUAAAAUUUAUUAAAAUUU
rnacentral:tRNA from 1 species